UCUGGCCUCAAAUCAGGUAGGACUACCCGCUGAACUUAAGCAUAUCAAUAAGCGGAGAGAGA
rnacentral:rRNA from 1 species